rnacentral:lncRNA from 1 species
UAUUUUUGAAUUUUUAAUGAAUUAAACAAAAUGAACAAAAUAAAUGGAAUAACAUGGAAAAUAUGGAGGGAAAUUCAAAUAUUUGAAUAAACUCAGAAUAAACCACAAACGCACGAUCUGGCGCGCAAUUCACAUCCACGGUCCAGGUUCAAAUCCAUGAAACGCAUUGUUUCAUUAAAACACCUCAUCAGCCUAAUCAUCAGUCAAAGCAAUGCGUGGCAAUGUCAAAGCAAUACAGUCCAAUCAUAUGUCCAAGCAAG